rnacentral:rRNA from 1 species
AUUAGAUACCCUAUUAUUAUUAAUCAAUAUUGAGUUUGGAGAGUAAAAGCCUGUAUGCUUUAAAACCAAAGAAUAUGGCGGUGUCUUAUUCUAUCAGGGGAACCUGUACCUUAAUUUGAUAGUCCACGGUUAUCAUUCCUAAAUUUGAAAUAUCAGCUUGUGUACUGCCGAAUUAUAGACUUCGAAAGAUUGCUUAUAUAAUAAUCUUAUAAAGAUAAAAAAUCAGGUCCAAGUGCAGCUUAUAUUUAGGUGGGAGUGGGUUACAUUUAUUUUAAGAUUCAGAUAUUCUUAUUUUAGUAUAGGAUUAUGAGAAGAAUUUGAAAGUAAUUAAAUAGUAUUGAUUUAAUGAAAUUGGUUCUAAGAUGUGCACACAUCGCCCGUC